CGGAUCGCAGGCUGCAACCCGCCUGCGUGAAGUUGGAAUCGCUAGUAAUCGCGGAUCAGCAUGCCGCGGUGAAUACGUUCCCGGGCCUUGUACACACCGCCCGUCACACCAUGAGAGUCGGGAACACCCGAAGUCCGUAGCCUAACCGCAAGGGGGGCGCGGCCGAAGGUGGGUUCGAUAAUUGGGGUGAAGUCGUAACAAGGUAAC
rnacentral:rRNA from 1 species